GCUCCGGUGGCCUAGUGUUUAGAGCGUCCGCCUCUGAUGCGGGAGGUCGAGGGUUCGAUCACCGGACCA